GUCUGUUUUAGUCACAUGAUACACACAGGAGUUAGUACUUGAUUGCAAAACCAUUGUUUUUGAUGAGUUUUGAUAAUUUUUUCCACGACUGUAUAUGUUCUGAUUUGUACUUUUUGUAUUAUUUCAUUUCUUGUAUAUAAAAGAAAGAAAGAAAGAAAGAAAGAAAGAAAGAAAGAAAGAAAGAAAGAAAGAAAGAAAGAAAGGCUCCGGAUCAAACCAACGCAUCAUACUGUAUUUCUAUGUAUUGUAGAUGCUCUAUUCUUCCACAAGGUUGCGCUCUGUCCGCAGUUUUCCACCUGUUUAUCAAACAGACCGUUCCUGUAGCUCUAUGUCAGAAAUUACCUCAGCAGCAUUUUCAUCCUGUUGAAGACUGUAAUAAUAAUAAAUGAUCUGGGUUCUAACUGAUGCAUGUCUCCUCCUGUUCUUUUAUUUUUCAAAGACCUGACUGAUGUUUGGUGCAAAUCCCACAGGAAACAGACUGAGUUUAAUGAGCAGGAUGAAUUAACAUUAGGAGUUCUCAGGAAACACCCUGAGAAAUGUAUUCUAAAAUACGCAUGAAUUAUGUUGGCACACUGGGUCCUCCAGGUCACAGAGCUGUGGAGCAGUCAGUGUGGGAAAGGAGGCUGACGCUAAUGCACCAGUCUAAUGAUGAAGAAAAUCAAUAAGAGCAGAUCACAGAAAAGAAGAACCCACCGAGGAGUGGAAGUAACCAUCCCAGAUACCUCUACAAGCACCUUUAUGAAUGCAGAUCCUGCAGCUGACACAAAAACACCAACAAUAAAAACACUACAUUAUAUUACACAUAUUACACACUUUAAGACUAUACUGAAUGUAUGUCUUAUGAACUGUAUUUUCAGAAUAUCCCAGUUAUUUAGAGAGGGGGCUUUUAGUUGAUUUGGAUGGAGUAACCUGUCCUCUGUCAACAACACAGGCCAACAGUAAAUUCUGCAUAGCAGCACAGUCCGCCGCUGGCUUCCCUCCAUAAACCACUGGUGCUGAUGUUGAGGAGAGGGAGGAAAGGGACGACGGGGAGAAAGAAGAGGAGGAGGAGGAGGAGGAGGAGGGGGGGGGGGGAUGUGGCUAUGAGCCAGACUGUUCCACAGAGGCUCAGUAAAACCACGAAGAAUAAGACCGAGUCAAACAGGAACUCAGACUGAUCUGGUUUUAAACUUAAAAGCUUGGAAUAUGAAGGGAAGAAAUCUGCAAUAUUGUCGUUUUUAGGAUUUGCUGCCUGUUAUCUUUUUUAUCCAUUUGCUUUAUCAUGUCAAACUCAUACUUGUGUUCAUUUAUCCACUGAAAUAUCCUACUUCAUAACCCUGUGUUACUGGUUUUGUCACUUGGAAAACUAUGUGUUCAAACUCAUUCAUAUACACUUGGAGCUCUUUUGGGGUUUUUUAUGUCUUUUACUAUAGACUUUUUUUGGUCACUAUUAAGAGUGAUCUUAUGCAAUGCUACACUGGACUACACAUUUUUGGAAAUUAUCAUCUUCAGCGAUAAAAUGUGGAAAACUUUAUAGACUUUGAUAAGAACAAUUAGAAAACAGCAGUAAUAUCAACAAGAGUGCUGGUUGGCUAAUGUACUCAAGAUAUAUGAUAAUGUGUAAUUACAUGUAUACAUAAAGUGAAAAGUGAAUGUAUUUUACUGUGUACACAGUGUUUAGAGUAGAACUGGUAGAUCACAGAGUCCUGUCAUAGAUUCAUAAAAUUGGAAUUUUGGCCCAA